UACGGGGGGAGCAAGCGUUGUUCGGAUUUACUGGGCGUAAAGGGCGCGUAGGCGGCCACCGCAAGUCGGUUGUGAAAUCUCUGGGCUUAACCCAGAAAGGUCAACCGAUACUGCGGGGCUAGAGUGCAGAAGGGGCAACUGGAAUUCUCGGUGUAGCGGUGAAAUGCGUAGAUAUCGAGAGGAACACCUGCGGCGAAGGCGGGUUGCUGGG
rnacentral:rRNA from 1 species